GACGAACGCUGGCGGCGUGCCUAAUACAUGCAAGUCGAGCGAGCGGAACUAACUGGGUUUCUUGGGGAAUGACGAUAGGAAAGCGAGCGGCGGAUGGGGGAGUCAGAAGUGGGGGACAGGCCGGCGAGACUGGGAUAACACUUGGAAACAGGUGCUGAGACCGGGUGAGAAAGCAGAUCGCAUGAUGCGCUUUUAAAAGGCGGCGUAAGCUUACGCAGUUGGAGGGGCCCACGGUGAAUUAGCUAAUUGGUAAGGUAAAGGCUUACCAAGGCGACGAUGCAUAGCCGAUUUGAGAGACUGAUCGGCCACAUUGGGACUGAGACACGGCCCAAACUCCUACGGGAGGCAGCAGUAGGGAAUCUUCCACAAUGGGCGCAAGCCUGAUCGAGCAAUGCCGCGUGAGUGAAGAAGGUUUUCGGAUCGUAAACCUCUGUUGUUGGUGAAGAAGGCUUGUGGGCUAAAACCCCCGUUAUUUGACGGUACCCGACCAGUAAGCACCGGCUAACUACGUG
rnacentral:rRNA from 1 species